rnacentral:rRNA from 1 species
GAUGAACGCUGGCGGCGUGCCUAAUACAUGCAAGUCGAGCGAACAGAUGAGGAGCUUGCUCCUCUGACGUUAGCGGCGGACGGGUGAGUAACACGUGGAUAACCUACCUAUAAGACUGGGAUAACUUCGGGAAACCGGAGCUAAUACCGGAUAAUAUAUUGAACCGCAGGGUUCAAUAGUGAAAGACGGUUUUGCUGUCACUUAUAGAUGGAUCCGCGCCGCAUUAGCUAGAUGGUAAGGUAACGGCUUACCAAGGCAACGAUGCGUAGCCGACCUGAGAGGGUGAUCGGCCACACUGGAACUGAGACACGGUCCAGACUCCUACGGGAGGCAGCAGUCGGGAAUCUUCCGCAAUGGGCGAAAGCCUGACGGAGCAACGCCGCGUGAGUGAUGAAGGUCUUCGGAUCGUAAAACUCUGUUAUUAGGGAAGAGCAAAUGUGUAAGUAACUAUGCACGUCUUGACGGUACCUAAUCAGAAAGCCACGGCUAACUACGUG